rnacentral:rRNA from 1 species
GACGAACGCUGGCGGCGUGCUUAACACAUGCAAGUCGAACGAUGAACCUGGAGCUUGCUCCGGUGGAUUAGUGGCGAACGGGUGAGUAACACGUGAGUAACCUGCCCUUGACUCUGGGAUAACUGCGGGAAACUGUAGCUAAUACCGGAUACGACCCUCGGCGGCAUCGCCAGGGGGUGGAAAGAAUUUCGGUCAAGGAUGGACUCGCGGCCUAUCAGCUAGUUGGUGAGGUAACGGCUCACCAAGGCGACGACGGGUAGCCGGCCUGAGAGGGUGACCAGCCACACUGGGAGUGAGACACGGCCCAGACUCCUACGGGAGGAAGCAGUGGGGAAUAGUGCACAAUGGGCGCAAGCCUGAUGCAACAACGCCGCGUGAGGGAUGACGGCCGUCGGGUUGUAAACCUCUUUUAGUAGGGAAGAAGCGAAAGUGACGGUACCUGCAGAAAAAGCACCGGCUAACUACGUGCCAGCCGCCGCAGUAA